GACGAACGCUGGCGGCGUGCUUAACACAUGCAAGUCGAACGGAAAGGCCCUGCUUUUGUGGGGUGCUCGAGUGGCGAACGGGUGAGUAACACGUGAGUAACCUGCCCUUGACUUUGGGAUAACUUCAGGAAACUGGGGCUAAUACCGGAUAGGAGCUCCUGCUGCAUGGUGGGGGUUGGAAAGUUUCGGCGGUUGGGGAUGGUCUCGCGGCUUAUCAGCUUGUUGGUGGGGUAGUGGCUUACCAAGGCUUUGACGGGUAGCCGGCCUGAGAGGGUGACCGGCCACAUUGGUACUGAGGUACGGCCCAGACUCCUACGGGAGGCAGCAGUGGGGAAUAUUGCACAAUGGGCGGAAGCCUGAUGCAGCGACGCCGCGUGCGGGAUGACGUCCUUCGGGUUGUAAACCGCUUUCGCCUGUGACGAAGCGUGAGUGACGGUAAUGGGUAAAGAAGCACCGGCUAACUACGUG
rnacentral:rRNA from 1 species